rnacentral:rRNA from 1 species
AGUCUGGUGCCAGCAGCCGCGGUAAUUCCAGCUCCAAGAGUGUAUAUUAAAGUUGUUGCGGUUAAAAAGCUCGUAGUUGAAUUUCUGAAAAUAAUAUUGUGAUUGAUUUAACCGUCAUGAUCAAAAAUUAUUAUCAUACUUGAUAGGUGGAAACAUUUAUCUUAAUUACUUUGAAAAAAUUAGAGUGUUCAAAGCAAGAUUCACAUCUGAAUAAUACAGCAUGGGAUAAUAUAAUAUGACAUUAGUUAAAAUUUGUUGGUUUCUUUGGCUAAUGUAAUGAUUAAAAGGGACAGUUGGGGUAAUUUAUAUUGGUUGGGGAGGGGUGAAAUCCUAUGAUCCUUCCAAGAUAAACUAGUGCGAAAGCAUUUUACCAGGAUGUUUUCAUUAAUCAAGAACGAAAGUUGGGGGAUCGAAGAUGAUCAGAUACCGUCGUAGUCUCAACCAUAAACUAUGUCGACUAAGGAUGAUAAAAUAUUAAAUGAAUGAUUUUUGUCGCACUUUACAAGAAAUUAUAAGUAUUCAGACUCCGGGGGGAGUAUGGUCGCAAGGCUGAAACUUAAAGGAAUUGACGGAAGGGCACCACCAGGAGUGGAACCUGCGGCUUAAUUUGACCCAACACGGGGAAACUUACUAGGUCAGGACACAGUAAGGAUUGACAGAUUGAAAGCUCUUUCUUGAUUUUGUGGAUGGUGGUGCAUGGCCGUUUUUAGUUGGUGGAUUGAUUUGUCUGGUUAAUUCCGAAAACGAACGAGACCUUAACCUGUUAACUAUGUGAUAUUAAAAUUCGAUCUCGGUCUAAAUCUUUGAUAUUAAAAAUUUAAUACUUCUUAAAGGAACAAUUCAAACUUUAAUUGAAAGGAAGUUUAAGGCAAAAACAGGUCUGUGAUGCCCUUCGAUGUUCUGGGCUGCACGCGCGUUACACUGAUAUGUUCAAUAAGUUUUUAAAUUUCCUGGUCUGAAAAGAUUUGGUAAACUUUGAAAAGCAUAUCGUGAUUGGGAUAGUAUUUUGUAAUUAUCGCACUUGAACGAGGAAUUCCUAGUAGGGGCAAUUCAUCAAAUUGCCCCGAUUACGUCCCCGCCCUUUGUACACACCGCCCGUCGCUUCUACCGAUUGAAUAAUGCGAUGAGGAUUCAGGAUCGAAUAGAAUUAAUUGUUUGAAAGGAUAAUUAAGACUAUUUGCUAAUUUAUUCAAAUCU